rnacentral:rRNA from 1 species
ACGCUCGACACCUACGGAAGGCAGCAGUCGGGAAUAUUGCGCAAUGGAGGAAACUCUGACGCAGUGACGCCGCGUGCAGGAAGAAGGUUUUCGGAUUGUAAACUGCUUUAGACAGGGAAGAAAGAAAUGACAGUACCUGUAGAAUAAGCUCCUGCUAACUACGUGCCAGCAGCCGCGGUAAUCUGAGGCGGGCGUGGCGAAGGC